rnacentral:lncRNA from 1 species
UGGAAAAUGGUUUCUCUCCUUCGAAUAAUGGUACGGAAUUUAGAGCUUUAUUCUCUUGUGUAUGAUAAGCAUGGCUUGGAAAUGGUUUCUUUCCUCUAUUUGGGUUAGGUUUCAAAGCUUCAUUCACUCUUGUAUAAUGAUCAUGUAGGGAUUUUAAGAGGGAUUUUUCAAAAUUUUAAUCCUCUUUGCGGAAGAAAUCCCAAUGAAACGGAUCUUGAUUAAAUCAUUAAUCACAAAUCAAACAGAAACUUAAACACUUUAAGAUUCAUGUGUUUACCUCUUGAAGAGUAGAACCUUUGUAGAAGAAAUAUUUCUGAUCACGAGCAAAGCAAAGCAGCGAUGCCUCUACUUAGUCCACACGAACAGAACUUCUCCGAUGACCGGUGCUAGCCAAUUCCAACGGAGAUUCAGAGAGAAGAAGGUUUAGAGAGCGGCGGCUAGGGUUUCACAACUUUUGUGAAUUAGGUUAAGCACUCACAAAAAGGUUCGUAAUGCUUCAACACAAGGGUUCUAUUUAUAGAAUCACUUGUGUGGUCAGCAAGACAACACUUAAAUACACUGUACCUUACGGUGGACCGCGUUUCUCUAUUUUUCGUAAAUUAAAUAAUAAAGUCAUAUUUAAUUAUUUAAUUAAUAAUAAGUCUCACUUAUUAUUUUAUAAAUAAGUCUUACUUAUUUAUUUCUCUCAUCUAUCUGUCCUUUGUGUGUGACCCUAUAGGUUCCCGUAACGUUGGCAAUAAUAUUAAAUCACAUAUUUAAUAUUAUAAACAGUGAGCGGUAUCUAGCAACACAUCACUGCUACCUAAGUGACGAGAAUGUCAUGUGAUCUGACGAAACCUUUCUGUGAUAAUGAUCAUGUGUAUAAUUACCCUUUUGCCCUCAUGUCUAUAUUAAACACAAGGCAUAGACCGUGUCAUCCUUGUCUAGUUCAAUAUUGGGCCCGUAGACAUUUCUCCUGUUAUGUAGGAGGGGCAAAUUCCAUCUAGGUCACUCAUGUCCCUCAGCAUGAUUCAUGGAGUACCCAUCAACCAACUUUAUAGUCAUCCUGUUACGGACAACGUUUGAAUGGUGACAAAGCACUCGACUCCAACAUCUAGGGUACAUAGUGGUUUCAGGUCGAAGGGUGGAAUACACCACUAUCACUAUGAGAAUAUCUUAUGACACUUUUCAUAACUUUUACUAUGUAGUAUUCUCAUGGCGGAUCAAUCCAAUAUAAAUAUUACUCCUAAUAUUUAUAUCUAUGUGAAGACUUGAUAACUCUUUAUCCAUGAUCUGUGAGAUGUGAUCAUCAGUCUAUCUACAUAAUAGUCUCUAUGCUUUAAUGAUAUCCCACUUCUCAACAAAGCUUGACUACGGAUACUUUGAGAAUAGUUUCCUUAUGUUUAAUGGGGUCUCACAAUUAAGUUAUACUUAAUGUUCCAUUAAACGAACUAACUAUUCUAGGGACUUUAUUAUUUUGAAACAAAACAAAAUCAAUAAAGAAAUGCCUUGUUAUUAUAUAUUCACAAUAUAUAUUUAUAUCAAUAUCAUGAUACAAAGCCAAACCCAAUCAAUAUAGAUUGGCUAUUAGGGCUUAUUCCAACAUAUCAUGGAUUGAAAAUCCGUAAACACUUUUGACCGGUUGACUAGACUCCAAAGCUUCAUUCACAAUUGUAUGAUAACCUAUGCUGGAAAAUGGUUUCUCUCCUUCGAAUAAUGGUACGGAAUUUAGAGCUUUAUUCUCUUGUGUAUGAUAAGCAUGGCUUGGAAAUGGUUUCUUUCCUCUAUUUGGGUUAGGUUUCAAAGCUUCAUUCACUCUUGUAUAAUGAUCAUCGAUUGAAAAUCCGUAAACACUUUUGACCGAUUGACUAGACUCCAAAGCUUCAUUCACAGUUGUAUGAUAACCUAUUCUGGAAAAUGGUUUCUCUCCUUCGAAUAAUGGUACAGAAUUUAGAGCAUCAUUCACUUGUGUAGGAUAAACAUUGCUUGGAAAUGGUUCCCUUACUCUAUUUGGGUGAGGUUUUAAAGUUUCAUCCACUCUUGUAUAAUGUGCUUCGCUAGAAAUUGGGUUCCCUCUUCCGAAUAGUUGAUCAGAUUUCGAAGCUUCAUUCACUCUUAUAUAAUGAUCUUCGCUUGAAUAUGGGUUUCCUCUUUUGACCGAUCGACCAGAUUUCAAAGCAUCAUUCACAGUGCUGGAAAAUGGUUUCCCUCCUCGGAAUGGUACAGAAUUUAGAGCUUCAUUCACUUGUGUAUGAUAAACAUAACCUUUUCUGGGAAAUGGUCUCCAUGCGUAUCUGUUUGAGUCCAUGAGUAGUAUGUCUUUGUAGUUUUUCUGCCACAAGACGAGAGAUAUGUGCCAAGCUAAGCUAAUAAUACA